GGCUCGAUGGCGGAGGGUCCGCACAUGGGCCUUGAACAUCAAGUGUUUCAUGCGGGAUGCCCGUUCGACUCGGGCUCGAGCCA